GUGCCAGCCGCCGCGGUAACACCGGCGGCUCGAGUGGUAACCGUUAUUAUUGGGUCUAAAGGGUCUGUAGCCGGCCGGAUAAGUCUCUUGAGAAAUCUGGCAGCUUAACUGUCAGGCUUUCAGGAGAUACUGUCUGGCUCGAGGCCGGGAGAGGUGAGAGGUACUUCAGGGGUAGGGGUGAAA
rnacentral:rRNA from 1 species